rnacentral:lncRNA from 1 species
UUUCAUGUCUAUCAUGAAUAAUCGAGUAGCAACCCUACCUCAUCCUUUUAGUUCCAUUCAACCAAAAAACAUGUGUUUGUAGUAAAGUUUUGCUUUGCUUAUAGUUCCAUUUGCUUUGCUUCUAUUCCAAAUGUCUCAUCUCUCAUUCUCCUUCACUCAUAUUUUAAUGUAUAGUAAUCUUUAUAUCACCCAAUUCCCCCUCUAGACUUCUGAUUUUUCAUUCACUCACUUUUUUUGUACUAAUUUCUAUGAUUGCAUGUCUUAAAAAAAUUCUUACAGUUUUAUAGGAUGGGAUUAAUUUGGUUAUUUUUCAGGUUCAGGAGACAUAUUUGUAACCUUUAAUUUCGGUGGAUGUUGGUUAUGUGUAAUAUUUUGUUUCAAUAGCUCAAGUUUAAUGACAAUCUCACUUUCGCCAUAAUAUUCUAACAUAUUUGGUUAUUUUUGGUUCAAGAAACAUAUUUACAGCCUGAAACCUUGGCGGAUUGUGCAUGUGUAUUUAUAUCGAGUAGUGUAGUAUACAUAGUUAUUCAGAUGUUUAUUACAAAGGCAAAUUAGGAGAACAAAAAAGAAAUUUAUUUUAGUGAGGAAGGAAAACAU